ACUUAUUUAUGAUGUCACGUGCCUACUUCAACCUUUCUAAAUAAUUUUCGCCCAAAUCCAUCUUAUAUUUCCACACAUAAUCCACAUAUAUGGCAGCAACAAUCAUUCUCACUUUCACUCGAUUAUUUCCUAGUUUACAUGCAUCAUUAUCUAUCUAACUUUCAAUACUUUGUUUAUCAAUCCUCCAUCCACAAUAUUCCUUUUUCAUUUCUUUCAAACAACAUGCCAUACAAUCUUAAUAAGUUUCAACUAGCUUAGGCAAAUAGAUCCUUUCAACAACCUUAAUUCCUCACAAUAUUCAACUAACCGUAGGCUUUAAAACAUAGUGUUAAGCUUACUGUUUUCCUUUUCCACUUUGAGUCUUUCAUGUACCCAUGGGUUUAUUGGCUUACAUGUUACCAAUUUUUCUCCAAUCAAGCCAAUCUUUGCUGCCACAAGACAUUCCUCUAAGUCACUAACUCAUUUUCAAAGACUACUCAAGCCAAAAACAAGAAUUCUUACUGUUUUUUACUUGAAUCACCAAAACCAAGCUUUUUCUUUCUUCUCCUCCUAGGGUUUAGAUGUGCUAGAAAUUGGGGUUAAAGGUUGUAAAUUUAGUGCUCAAGAAGUUUGGAGAAGAAAGGAAAAGAAAACAUGGAAAGGAAAAUGAAGAAAACUUGGUUUCAUGGUGGACAAAGAGAAAAUGGCAUGGAAGCUUCAAGAAUGGUGUGG
rnacentral:lncRNA from 1 species